AUUAUGGGAUAUUAUCAAAGAUGAUUUGGUCGAAUAUUAUAAACUAUAACACUUUGGUUACGUUAUUUUAUGUCAGAGAUUAAAAAAGGAGAAAUCUACUUUUUUUAGUUAAUUCAGUCAUUCAUAGAUGGCUUUCAUUUGAAGUGUCAUUAAUUAAAAAUAAUACAAAAAUAAAUGUUAUAAAUAAUGAUUAGAUUUUGGU